AAGCUUGAUAAAGUAAUAUUUCUUUUAGGAAGACAGUAUUAUUAAAAUAUUGUAAACUUUUUAUUUUAUUUUUAAAUAUUGAUAAAAAUAAAAAAUAGUAUUUGCUAUUUUCUGUGCCAGCAGCAGCGGUAAUACAGAAAUGCAAGCGUUAUUCAUUUUAUUAGGCGUAAAGCGUUUUAAGGUUUUAUAUUAAUUUUAUGUUUAAAUAUUUAAAUUAAAUUUAAAAUAAAUUAAUAAAUAAUAAUAUAAUAGAGUAUUAUAAAAGUAUUAAGAAUUUUUUGAGAAGUAGUGAAAUACAAUGAUACAAAAAAGAAUAUCAAAGGCGGAAGCAUAAUACUAUAUAAUUACUGACACUUAAAAACGAAAGCUAAGGUAGCAAAUAGGAUUAGAUACCCUAGUAGUCUUAGCUGUAAACUAUGAAUAUUUUAUAUUUAUAUUUUAUAAAUAUAAUAACUAACGUGAUAAAUAUUCCGCCUGAGUAGUAUAUUCGCAAGAAUGAAAUUCAAAGGAAUUGACGGGAGCUUAUACAAGUGGUGGAACAUGUGGCUUAAUUCGAUGCAACACGAUAAACCUUACCAAAAUUUAACAAUAUUUUUAAUAUUAAGAAAUUAAUAUUUUAAUAAAAUAUAUAGGUAGUGCAUGGCUGUCGUCAGUUCGUGCUGUGAAGUGUUAAUUUUAGUAUUAUAACGAACGUAACCUUUUAUAAAAAAAAUUUUUAUAAUAAAUAAUAAUAAAGAUUACGUCAAGUCAUUAUGCUCCUUAUAUUUUGGGCUGCUCACGUGUUACAUAAAAUAUUACAAUAUUUUAUUAUAUGUUAAAUAUAAUAAUUAAAAUAUAUUUAUAGUUCAGAUUAUAAAUUGAAACUCAUUUAUAUAAAGAUGGAAUCACUAGUAAUCGCUAAUCAGAAUUAUAGCGGUGAAUAAGUUCUUAAGCUU
rnacentral:rRNA from 1 species